CCUACGGGAGGCAGCAGUGGGGAAUAUUGGACAAUGGGGGCAACCCUGAUCCAGCCAUGCCGCGUGUGUGAAGAAGGCCCUCGGGUUGUAAAGCACUUUCAGUGAGGAAGAACGCCUGGUGGUUAAUACCCAACAGGAAAGACAUCACUCACAGAAGAAGCACCGGCUAACUCCGUGCCAGCAGCCGCGGUAAUACGGAGGGUGCGAGCGUUAAUCGGAAUUACUGGGCGUAAAGCGCGCGUAGGUGGCUUGAUAAGCCGGUUGUGAAAUCCCCGGGCUCAACCUGGGAACGGCAUCCGGAACUGUCAAGCUAGAGUGCAGGAGAGGAAGGUAGAAUUCCCGGUGUAGCGGUGAAAUGCGUAGAGAUCGGGAGGAAUACCAGUGGCGAAGGCGGCCUUCUGGACUGAAACUGACACUGAGGUGCGAAAGCGUGGGUAGCAAACAGGAUUAGAUACCCCGGUAGUC
rnacentral:rRNA from 1 species